GGCUCAAUGGUCUAGUCGUAGGAUUCUCGCUUCGGGUGGGUUUUUAACCUUUCAGACUGCGAGAGGUCCCGGGUUCAAUUCCCGGUUGAGCCC